rnacentral:rRNA from 1 species
GCUGGCGGCGUGCCUAAUACAUGCAAGUCGAGCGAACAGACGAGGAGCUUGCUCCUCUGACGUUAGCGGCGGACGGGUGAGUAACACGUGGAUAACCUACCUAUAAGACUGGGAUAACUUCGGGAAACCGGAGCUAAUACCGGAUAAUAUAUUGAACCGCAUGGUUCAAUAGUGAAAGACGGUUUUGCUGUCACUUAUAGAUGGAUCCGCGCCGCAUUAGCUAGUUGGUAAGGUAACGGCUUACCAAGGCAACGAUGCGUAGCCGACCUGAGAGGGUGAUCGGCCACACUGGAACUGAGACACGGUCCAGACUCCUACGGGAGGCAGCAGUAGGGAAUCUUCCGCAAUGGGCGAAAGCCUGACGGAGCAACGCCGCGUGAGUGAUGAAGGUCUUCGGAUCGUAAAACUCUGUUAUUAGGGAAGAACAAAUGUGUAAGUAACUAUGCACGUCUGACGG